GAGAAGCAAGAAAGAGCUCGUGGAUCAAACGCUGCAAAUUCCUCCACAAGUUUCAACCUUCAAGUUGAAGUUCAAGAAAUCAAGUUCAAGCUCAAGAACGAAGAAGAAAUCAAGUUCGAGCUCAAGAACGAAGAACAAAACAAGGUCAAGUUCAAGCAAUCAAGCUCAAGCUCAAGAACAAGAUAAUCAUUCGCGACAAUAAACAUAGAUUCAAGAUCAAGCUCAGAAGCCCUUGAAUUUAUUUACUAUUGGAAAGAAGAAUCAGAGGAUCCAUAGAGAUUGUAACACUCAAAUAUUCGAAAUAAAAUACUACGACUGUUGCGAUAUUUUUCGGUCUUGAUUUUAUUUUCUC
rnacentral:lncRNA from 1 species